GGCCCAAUCAUCUCCUCGGGGUGUGGUCCCCUCACAUGGCCACAAGGCAAGUCACAUGCCAACAUGAACACGGAAGGGAGCAGGCAGACCACAGCGAUGAUGAACAGGCACUUGAAAGACGCCAGCUGUGGGCUGGGGAUGUCGCUCACGGCACCAAACAAACAAACAAACGGAAGCCCCGCAUCCGGCUUUCCCACACCACACUUUGAUGGUGUUACCCUCAUAUGCGGUACUCUAGAGGACGUCCUGUGUCACAGCAAACCCACUACACUGCCAGACCUUAGAGAAGAAUCGAAAAUGCAGGUGCAGCAAUCUCAGUGACCAAGGUUACCCAGGCAGCAGCGCGCCAUACUAAUAAUGUCUAGCAGCUCACAACAACCACUCUGAGCACCUCUUGUACUUGCAGAGGCCAA
rnacentral:lncRNA from 1 species